AAAGAAAACCAACAUUUUUUUUGCCCGUUUGUGCCUACAAACAGUAACUUCUGCAAAGGGUGAGCUGGGAGCAGCUGGGCUGGUUGGCAGCAGGAUGGGAGCCACAGCUUGUCCUGGGAGAUGAAAUGUUUAGAUAUUGAGCUGGUGCUGCAAAAGACCCCCCAAAAGGAUGCUGUUGACCCCAAACCUCACUGUUGCCUGUGCAGGUGAGCCAGUGGUAGCCAGGAAAUGAGUGUGUGCUCGGCAGGGAGGACUUCAGGGAGUUGGUUUGGUGUGUUUGAGGUCUUGGAGAGGGGACAGUUAGGUAGGAAGAAAGAAGGAGCAGGAAGAAAGGAGGA